rnacentral:lncRNA from 1 species
GGCCCUGGGCUUCUCUCUUCUACACUGUACCCAAUGCACAGCUUUUGUCAUUGAUUAAAUGCCACAGCUCGCCUGGAGCCAUUUAUCAAUUUCACCAGCUGUUUAUGGCUUUAUUUGCUACAAAGGAAGCAAGGUAAUCCCUGCAGACUCAAUAGAUCUAAAUUAACUGAACGUUCAGGAGCCAGCUUAAAAAGAAUUAUUGCUCCCUGACUCAGUGGGCCAGAGAAAAGGAAUGAACACAGGAACCUGUCACAGAGGCUCUGAGAGGUUCUCUGGCAUCCAGGAGGGUCGCUUCACAAAGGACACCUGCUUGACUGGGUCUCUAUUAACCAGGUUUCUCUGCAUAGAGUUCAG